rnacentral:rRNA from 1 species
UACGGAGGGUGCAAGCGUUGUCCGGAUUUAUUGGGCUUAAAGGGUGCGUAGGCGGCUUUUUAAGUCAGUGGUGAAAUACAGCAGCUCAACUGUUGAGGUGCCAUUGAUACUGAGAGGCUUGAGUACAGAUGAGGUAGGCGGAAUUUAUGGUGUAGCGGUGAAAUGCAUAGAUACCAUAAAGAACACCGAUUGCGAAGGCAGCUUACUAAGCUGUAACUGACGCUGAGGCACGAAAGCGUGGGGAGCGAACAGG